UCCGGCUUAACGCCGGCAGUCUCCCUAGAGUGCCCAACUGAAUGGUGGCAACUAAGGACGAGGGUUGCGCUCGUUGCGGGACUUAACCCAACACCUCACGGCACGAGCUGACGACAGCCAUGCAGCACCUGAACCAGCGGUCCCCGAAGGGAAAGUCCUAUUUCUAGGACGGUCCACUGUUGUCUAGCCCAGGUAAGGUGGGGAUGACGUCACACAGACUAUAC
rnacentral:misc_RNA from 1 species